GACGGAGGGGGCUAGCGUUGUUCGGAAUGACUGGGCGUAAAGGGCGCGUAGGCGGCUUUUUAAGUGAGGCGUGAAAGCCCUGGGCUUAACCCAGGAGGUGCGUUUCAGACUGAAAGGCUUGAGUGCGAGAGAGGAAAGUGGAAUUCCUAGUGUAGAGGUGAAAUUCGUAGAUAUUAGGAAGAACACCCGUGGCGAAGGCGGCUUUCUGGCUCGCAACUGACGCUGAGGCGCGAAAGCGUGGGGAGCAAACAGG
rnacentral:rRNA from 1 species